rnacentral:misc_RNA from 1 species
CCGAGUUUACAACUCCCAAACCCAUGUGAACCUUACCAUUCGUUGCCUCGGCGGAUCAGCCGCUCCCGGUAAACGGGGACGGCCGCCAGAGGACCCUAAACCUCUGAUUUCGUUCUCUGUAACUUCUGAGUAACACAAUCAAAUAAAUCA